AUUUAUAUAAAAGUAAAUCAAAAUACUUAAUAAAAAGUAAAAAACUUACAUGUAUAAUCAAGGCUCGACCCUCGACCCACCUUUCUGGAUCAGUCUCUUUCUUCUUCUUUACAAUACGAGUUCAUUGAAUAACUCAUCUUACUUUAUUGGUAUCAUAAAGUUGUCUGGUGAUUUUGGUGAUUAUCCUCGUGGUACUAUUACUCGGGAUGAACUUAGAUACAGAGAGUAACUUGGAUACAGUACCCGACAGGGUGUGUCUUUGAUCAAUUGUUGUUCUCAUUAGCGACAAUGAUAAUGAGAAGGCAAUGGCAUGUAUUUCAAACAGUGAUGUUGUAGGUAAGAAUUUAACAUUUCCUAAGCAGAUAAAAGAAGAGGUUAUAGAGGAAUUCUCUACUUCCUCUUGGAAAAUGAAGUAGAGAAUUCCCCUAUAACCUUUUCUUUUAUCAAUUUAGGAAAUGUUAAAUUCCUAUCUACAACAUCACUAUUUGAAACACAUGCCAUUGCCUUGUCAUCAUCAUUGUCGCUAAUGAGAACAACAAUUAAAGGCACACUAUGCCAAGUACUGUGUCUAAGUUAUUCUUGGUGGAAGUUGCAUUGCAUGUCUAAUAUUCCAAUACAUAAACUAAUAUCCUAAAGGUUCAAUUCAUAUCCUAAAGGUUCAACUCAUAUCCACAAAAGUUCAAGUCAUAUCCUAAAAUUUCAAUUUAUAAACUAAAAUUCCAAUACAUAAACUAAAAGUCCAAUUCAUAUCCUAAAGGUUCAAUUCAUAUCCUAAAGGUUCAACUCAUAUCCACAAAAGUUCAAGUCAUAUCCUAAAAUUUCAAUUUAUAAACUAAAAUUUCAAUUCAUAUCCUAAAGGUUCAACUCAUAUCCAUAAAAGUUCAAGUCAUAUCCUAAAAUUUCAAUUUAUAAACUAAAAUUCCAAUACGUAAACUAAAAGUCCAAUUUAUAUCCUAAAUGUUCAAUUCAUAUCCUAAAGGUUCAACUCAUAUCCACAAAAGUUCAAGUCAUAUCCUAAUAUU
rnacentral:lncRNA from 1 species